GACGAACGCUGGCGGCGUGCUUAACACAUGCAAGUCGAACGGAAAGGCCCUGCUUUUGUGGGGUGCUCGAGUGGCGAACGGGUGAGUAACACGUGAGUAACCUGCCCUUGACUUUGGGAUAACUUCAGGAAACUGGGGCUAAUACCGGAUAGGAGCUCCUGCUGCAUGGUGGGGGGUGGGAAGGUUUCGGCGGUUGGGGAUGGACUCGCGGCUUAUCAGCUUGUUGGUGGGGUAGUGGCUUACCAAGGCUUUGACGGGUAGCCGGCCUGAGAGGGUGACCGGCCACAUUGGGACUGAGAUACGGCCCAGACUCCUACGGGAGGCAGCAGUGGGGAAUAUUGCACAAUGGGCGGAAGCCUGAUGCAGCAACGCCGCGUGCGGGAUGACGGCCUUCGGGUUGUAAACCGCUUUCGCCUGUGACGAAGCGUGAGUGACGGUAAUGGGUAAAGAAGCACCGGCUAACUACGUG
rnacentral:rRNA from 1 species